rnacentral:rRNA from 1 species
AACGCGAAGAACCUUACCUGGGCUCGAAAUGCAGGAGACCGGGGUAGAAAUAUCCUUUCCCCGCAAGGGGCUGCUGUAUAGGUGCUGCAUGGCUGUCGUCAGCUCGUGUCGUGAGAUGUUGGGUUAAGUCCCGCAACGAGCGCAACCCUCAUCCCUAGUUGCCAUCAGGUCAAGCUGGGCACUCUAGUGAAACCGCCCCGGAUAACGGGGAGGAAGGUGGGGAUGACGUCAAGUCCUCAUGGCCUUUAUGUCCAGGGCUACACACGUGCUACAAUGGUCGGUACAAACCGUCGCAAAACUGCAAAGUGGAGCUAAUCGGAAAAAGCCGGCCUCAGUUCGGAUUGGAGUCUGCAACUCGACUCCAUGAAGCUGGAAUCGCUAGUAAUCGCAGAUCAGAACGCUGCGGUGAAUACGUUCCCGGGCCUUGUA